rnacentral:rRNA from 1 species
UACGGGGGGGGCAAGCGUUGUUCGGAAUUACUGGGCGUAAAGGGCUCGUAGGCGGUCAGUCAAGUCGGGUGUGAAAGCCCUGGGCUCAACCUGGGAAUUGCAUUCGAAACUAUCUGACUCGAGUAUGGGAGAGGGAAGCGGAAUUUCCGGUGUAGCGGUGAAAUGCGUAGAUAUCGGAAGGAACACCAGUGGCGAAGGCAGCUCUCUGGGACGGUACUGACACUGAGACGCGAAAGCGUGGGGAGCGAACAGG